GACAGAGGGUGCAAACGUUGCUCGGAAUCACUGGGCGUAAAGGGCGCGUAGGCGGGAAUGUAAGUCGGGCGUGAAAUCCCUAGGCUCAACCUAGGAACUGCACUCGAAACUGCGUUUCUUGAGUAUCGGAGAGGAAAGCGGAAUUCCUGGUGUAGAGGUGAAAUUCGUAGAUAUCAGGAGGAACACCAGUGGCGAAGGCGGCUUUCUGGACGGUAACUGACGCUGAGGCGCGAAAGCGUGGGGAGCAAACAGG
rnacentral:rRNA from 1 species